rnacentral:rRNA from 1 species
UACGUAGGGAGCAAGCGUUGUCCGGAAUCAUUGGGCGUAAAGCGCGCGUAGGCGGCCCGAUAAGUCCGCUGUGAAAGUCAACGGCUCAACCUCGAGACGCCGGUGGAAACCAUCAGACUAGAGUCCGGAAGAGGAGAGUGGAAUUCCUGGUGUAGCGGUGAAAUGCGCAGAUAUCAGGAAGAACACCCGUGGCUAAGGCGGCUCUCUAGUACGGUACUGACGCUGAGACGCGAAAGCGUGGGGAGCGAACAGG